rnacentral:lncRNA from 1 species
ACAUAAUUUCUAAACACAUAGGGAUUCAGAAAACCUAGUAGGCACAGCCAUUUUCUGAAAAAAAAAAAAAAAAGAAGAAAAAAGAAAAAAAAAGAAAAUUACCAUUUGUAGUUGAGCAAAACAACGAGAAAAGGGAUUCAAAAAAGAGAAGGAUAGAGCAUCUAAGAAUGACUCAGAUCAGCAAUAAGAUCAUAUCCUAUGAUGACAGACAUGCUACAGGCUAGAAUAAAAUUAGUCCGGAUUGUAUAAGGAAAUCAGAAGAUAUCUGUAAGUAUGUCCUAAAGAAGAAAAUUAAUUUAAAAAACUGCAUUAUAUUAGCAUGGAGAGGCUAUACAAAGAGGGAUAAAGAAGUUACUUUUAUUACAUUGUAAGUGAAAAUGAAUAAGCUUCGAAUUUAAAAACCAGAAAAAAAUGUGUUAUGUGGCAUUAUCAGUGGCCUGGAACUUUUUCCCUUAAUCAGUAAGUUAAAAUAAUAAAGAAUAAUUAUUGUAUAUUGCCUUUCCUACCAUUUCCUCUUUGUAUUUUUAGUAAUGGUCUCUUUGAGUGGUAUAUACUUAAUGACAUAAAAUAACAUCUAUUUUAGGUGUCCAAUCACAGUACUUAGUGCCAUAAGAGGUAAUAUGAAAUAACAAUGUUUUGAAUUAUUGAGUGAUUUUAUAGAGAAAACUAGGCAGUAUUGUUAUAGGAUAUCAUGCAAAUGCUGUACUAGUAAUAACAUGGAUAAAGAUGAUACUAAUCAGGACUCAGCCAGAGCAGUGGUAGGACCUAUACACACACAUGAGUGUCAGUAUAUGCAUAUAUUAUAUACAUAUUAUAAUAAUAUCUUAAGGAACUGGAUAAGUAAGCCAGAAGUCCAUGGGCGGGCGGGCAGACAGAAAGGGAAGACCACAGGAGCAUGAGCUGAAAUUUGGAGUCUCUUUACUGCAUGUUAGUAAGAGACUCAUAUAUACGUAUUAUGAAGUAACAAGAGCAGUAUCAUUGCAUCAUCUUUGUCACAUUAAUUAGAAAAGAAGUAUGGAUGUGAGACAGUUUUUUUGAAAGCGAAGCACUCAGUUUAAUAUAAAGUCAUUUAAAUUUUUUCUUUUUACUCUACAAAGAGAUUUCCUUAUUUUGGAAUUACUGGACUAUAUCUAUGCAGUUUAAAGCCGAUAAAGAGAUGGUUAAAUGAUGAAAACUGCCAGGACAAUUACUGAUACUGGAAAAUAAGCACCAUAAAAAUGUAGAAAUCUAAUUUGGCUAUUGGAACAGGUCCUUAGCAGCUAUUCACUCCUAAUCAGCCUCAAGUUGUAAUGAAUAGAAUAAUAAGCAUCAUUAGAAUAAUUCACUAUUCAUCAAGAAUAAUAAACCACUUAGAAUAACAAGGCUAAAAUAAUAAGCCAAUGCUUAAAUUAUGGGGAAAGACUGGGGGGAAGAAUAGGAGAUUCUCAGAGGAAUUGAGAUUAUUGCUGCUGUGAGUUACUGAACUCCCCUAAUACACUGAAUUCAGUAUUGACCUGUUCCACUCCCUACCCCUGUGUUCUGCUCAGUAGCACUCAGUGUGGUUUGUAGACCACCUAUAUCAGACUCACCUGGAGUGUUUGUUAAGGCAGAGAAAGAGAGAUGGGGGGUAGGAGUGAAUGAUAUAUUUCCAAAGAUCCACUAACUGGGAUGAUUCUUAUUUAUAAAUCUAUAUACUGUUCUACCUCAAAGACAUUUGCUUCUGCUAUCCUUUCCACCUAGAAUAGGCUUGUUUUCUAAAUUGAUCUGUUAAAAAUCUACCCAUCCUAAAGGUUCAGAUUAAUGGCUGUUUCCUUCUUUACCCUUAUUGAAUCCAAUUUCCCACCCACUCACCCACCCUGGCCAAAGUGUAAAUUUGUUUUUUGCUUUUGUUUUGUUUUGUUUUAGGGCCACACCCACAGCCUAUGGAGGUUCCCAGGCUAGGGGUUGAAUUGGAGCUACAGCUGCUGGCCUACUCCACAGCCACAGCAAUGCUAGAUCCAAGCCCCAUCUGCAACUUACACCACAGCUCACAGCAAUGCUGGAUCCUUAACCCACUGAGUGAGGCCAGGGAUGGAACCUACUACCUCAUGGUUCCUAGUCUAAUUUGUUUCUGCUGUGCCAUGACAGGAACUCUGAGUAAAAUAGAUUUUUAAAAAGUGGAUAGAAUAAAAAUAAAUAAAUCAGAGAAAGAUAAAUACCGAAACCUUUUUUUUUCUUACAUGCAGACUAUAAAACAAACAAACAAGCUAAGUAUAAUGAAUUUAGGUGACAGAUUGGUGGUUGCCAGUGAAGGACGGUGAGGGGCAAGAGAAACUCUUUUUGGUUUUGUUUCAGUUUCAAAAUAUAGAAUUUUAAAAAAUAGAUAUGACUUUCAAUAAGGGCUAUACAGAUAUAAAAUAUAAGUAUUUUUAGUUACCUUUAUUACUGUGCUAAAAAUGAAAGUGAGCAAUAGAAGUUGUUGGAAAAGGAGGACAGAAUUUUAGGUCCUUUUCCAACCCUGAUCUUCUGUGGAUCAAUAUUUUUCAGUUUUAGGACUGGCUUCGUCUUCAGCAACUGUGCUAGUCAGUAGACUGUGAUCCUCUUCUUAAGUUUAAUAUAUAAUGUAUAUGUUUAUGAUGCCUGAAUGAGAAGUUGCAUACAUUAAUGAAGUGAUUUCAGCAAAGUAUUUUGAAUAAUGUGUUCUGAAUGUGUACAAAAAUGAAAUAUUAGUACAACUAGCCUGCUCCUCCUCCCCAAAUAUUUGAGUUUCUUUAAGCCUACCACUGUAGUGAAAAUACCAAUAUUGAUUCAGUGAAGAAUUCUUACCUCUUUUUAUUGUUUGUAUUCCUGCAAAGAUAAGUGAUUUAGAAUUCACAUAAGUAUUUAUAUAAUAUUUGAGAACUCUGUAUUUUAUAAUACAUGAUAAGUGGUAUUUUCCUUUAAAGGAAUCACAUGGAUAAUUGUAUCCGAUGAAAAGCCUGACCCUCAGAGAAGCAGUAAGCUCUUGCAAUAUAUUUCACAUGGCUCCAUAUGUAAAGAAGUAUAUUUUCCAUAUUGUCCUUCAGCUGCAACUUUGAUAGGAAAAUCAGACAGUUUAUUUUGAUGGUCUGAGUGAAUUCAUCAGUACUAAUUUCUGCACAGUAUAACUACAUUAAAAAAAAGGUUAGCAAAGGGAGAGAUUUUAGUAAUUUUUAAUGAGAUAGUUCCCAUGCCUAAAACUGUUUCAAAUACUAGUCUUACUGCAAAUUCUUAUCCAUUUCUUUCCUCUGUCCUUGGUGAACUCAUGC